AGAGUUUGAUCCUGGCUCAGGAUGAACGCUAGCGGCAGGCUUAACACAUGCAAGUCGAGGGGCAGCGGGGAGGAAGCUUGCUUUCUCCGCCGGCGACCGGCGCACGGGUGAGUAACACGUAUGCAACCUGCCCCUGUCAGGGGGACAACCCGCCGAAAGGCGGGCUAAACCCGCGUACAUGCCACCGGGGCAUCCCGGAGGCAGGAAAGGCUUCGGCCGGACAGGGAUGGGCAUGCGGCGCAUUAGGCAGUAGGCGGGGUAACGGCCCACCUAACCGACGAUGCGUAGGGGUUCUGAGAGGAAGGUCCCCCACACUGGUACUGAGACACGGACCAGACUCCUACGGGAGGCAGCAGUGAGGAAUAUUGGUCAAUGGUCGGGAGACUGAACCAGCCAAGCCGCGUGAGGGAGGAAGGUACAGAGUAUCGUAAACCUCUUUUGUCAGGGAACAAAGGCGGGGACGUGUCCCCGGAUGAGUGUACCUGAAGAAAAAGCAUCGGCUAACUCCGUGCCAGCAGCCGCGGUAAUACGGAGGAUGCGAGCGUUAUCCGGAUUUAUUGGGUUUAAAGGGUGCGCAGGCGGUCUGUUAAGUCAGCGGUCAAAGCCCGGGGCUCAACCCCGGCCCGCCGUUGAAACUGGCAGUCUCGAGUUGGAGAGAAGUAUGCGGAAUGCGCGGUGUAGCGGUGAAAUGCAUAGAUAUCGCGCAGAACUCCGAUUGCGAAGGCAGCAUGCCGGCUCCACACUGACGCUGAGGCACGAAAGCGUGGGUAUCGAACAGGAUUAGAUACCCUGGUAGUCCACGCAGUAAACGAUGAAUGCUGGCUGUCCGGGGGGAUUGACCCCUGGGUGGCGAAGCGAAAGCGAUAAGCAUUCCACCUGGGGAGUACGCCGGCAACGGUGAAACUCAAAGGAAUUGACGGGGGCCCGCACAAGCGGAGGAACAUGUGGUUUAAUUCGAUGAUUCGCGAGGAACCUUACCCGGGCUCAAACGGGGAGUGACUCAGGCAGAGACGCCUGUUUCCCACGGGACACUCCCCGAGGUGCUGCAUGGUUGUCGUCAGCUCGUGCCGUGAGGUGUCGGCUUAAGUGCCAUAACGAGCGCAACCCCCGCGUGCAGUUGCUAACAGUCAACGCUGAGGACUCUGCACGGACUGCCGGCGCAAGCCGCGAGGAAGGCGGGGAUGACGUCAAAUCAGCACGGCCCUUACGUCCGGGGCGACACACGUGUUACAAUGGGUGGUACAGCGGGAAGCCAGGCGGCGACGCCGAGCGGAACCCGAAAUCCACUCUCAGUUCGGAUCGGAGUCUGCAACCCGACUCCGUGAAGCUGGAUUCGCUAGUAAUCGCGCAUCAGCCAUGGCGCGGUGAAUA
rnacentral:rRNA from 1 species